rnacentral:rRNA from 1 species
UACGUAGGGUGCAAGCGUUAAUCGGAAUUACUGGGCGUAAGGCGUGCGCAGGCGGUUCGCUAAGACCGAUGUGAAAUCCCCGGGCUUAACCUGGGAACUGCAUUGGUGACUGGCGGGCUAGAGUAUGGCAGAGGGGGGUAGAAUUCCACGUGUAGCAGUGAAAUGCGUAGAGAUGUGGAGGAAUACCGAUUGCGAAGGCAGCCCCCUGGGCCAAUACUGACGCUCAUGCACGAAAGCGUGGGGAGCAAACAGG